GAUUAACGCUGGCGGCGUGCCUAACACAUGCAAGUCGAACGAGGUAGCAAUACCUAGUGGCAGACGGGUGAGUAACGCGUGGUCAACCUACCGUUGAGUGGGGGAUAACUAGCCGAAAGGUUAGCUAAUACCGCAUACGUCUCCGAGGGGCAUCCCUUGGCGAUAAAAGGAGCAAUCCGCUCGAUGACGGGACCGCGUCCCAUUAGCUAGAUGGUGGGGUAACGGCCUACCAUGGCACCGAUGGGUAGCUGGUUUGAGAGAGCGACCAGCCACACUGGGGACUGAGAAACGGCCCAGACUCCUACGGGAGGCAGCAGUGAGGAAUUUUCCGCAAUGGGCGCAAGCCUGACGGAGCGACGCCGCGUGUGGGAAGAAGGCCUU
rnacentral:rRNA from 1 species